GGGGCCCUUUAUAUAGACGGACAGCAUAACUGAUCGACAGCGACGUCUGUAACCACCUGGUAGUGGGUCAUUCAGAGCCACGUGGAGUUUGUUAUGGAGAGUGGAGUGGUGUCCAUUAUCGUGAUUUGCCAGAGAGUGGUGGGGCCACAUGAAAUCUGUUAUAGAGAGUGGAGUGGGGUAGUGGCCAUUAUCGUGACUUGCCAGAGAGUUCGAGCCUGAUGGCUGAAGCUCGGUUGG
rnacentral:lncRNA from 1 species